rnacentral:rRNA from 1 species
CAGUAGCCACGGUAAUACAGAGGAUGCAAGCGUUAUCCGGAAUGAUUGGGCGUAAAGCGUCUGUAGGUGGCUUUUCAAGUCCACCGUCAAAUCCCAGGGCUCAACCCUGGACAGGCGGUGGAAACUACCAAGCUGGAGUACGGUAGGGGCAGAGGGAAUUUCCGGUGGAGCUGUGAAAUGCAUUGUGAUCAGAAAGAACACCAACGGCGAAAGCACUCUGCUGGGCCGACACUGACACUGAGAGACGAAAGCUAGGGGAGCAAAUGGAAUUAGAUACCCCCGUAGUCCCUGUCUCUUAUAA